GGCUCGGUUGCAGAGGGUCUGCAUCUGCUUUCCAUUUUUGGUGUUCAAGGGAACUAUGCAGACACUGCCUGUUCGACUCAGGCCCGAGCCA